AUUGAACGCUGGCGGCAUGCCUUACACAUGCAAGUCGAACGGCAGCGCGGGAGCAAUCCUGGCGGCGAGUGGCGCACGGGUGUGUAAUACAUCGGAACGUGCCCACUCGUGGGGGGUGACGCAGCGAAAGCAGUGCUAAUACCGCAUACGAUCUACGGCUGAAAGCUGGGGAUCGCAAGACCUUGCGCGCGUGCAGCGACGGAUGGCCGACUAGGUAGUUGGUGAGUUAAAGGCUCACCAAGCCAGCGAUCUGUAGCUGGUCUGAGAGGACGACCAGCCACACUGGGACGGGGCCACGGCCCAGACGCCUACGGGAGGGAGCAGUGGGGAAUGUUGGACAACGGGCGAAAGCCUUAUCCAGCCAGGCCGCGUGCGGGAUGAAGGCCUUCGGUUUGGAAACUGCGUUUGUACGGAACGAAACGGUCUUUUCUAAUAAAGAAGGCUAAUGACGGUACCGUAAGAAUAAGCACCGGCUAACUACGUG
rnacentral:rRNA from 1 species